UCCACAGGAACAUGGAGCUCCCUCCAGCAUGCACUCUCAGACCACAGCCUCUCUCUCAGCCUCUUCCCACCACAGAAACUUCUUCCCUGGAGAUCCAGCUCCAGCGACUGAGGGCCUAGUUCCUCAUCGAUCUGCCUGGCUCCUGCUCCCGUCAAAGGCCCCACCCAGAAGAGGCAGUGACAGAGCCAGGCAACACAUCAGACAUUGCCUCACUGUCAUGGAUGCAGUCUCUGAUGAGCAGUCAAGCCCUGACAGAGCCUGAGCACCAACUCCAGCUGCCCCUGCCCCACUCAGGCUCCCCCCAGCAGCUCACAGACAACCACUGGCAAUGUCACUCCCCGUGAGCAGACUGAGGGCUUUGGGGAAAGAGUUCUGCCUCAAGACAGAAACCCAACUAAGUUUCCA